rnacentral:misc_RNA from 1 species
GAUGAAGAACGUAGCGAAAUGCGAUAAGUAAUGUGAAUUGCAGAAUUCAGUGAAUCAUCGAAUCUUUGAACGCACAUUGCGCCCCUUGGUAUUCCGAGGGGCAUGCCUAUUCGAGCGUCAUUUCACCACUCAAGCCUGGCUUGGUGUUGGGCGACGUCCCCUUUGGGGACGCGCCUCGAAACGCUCGGCGGCGUGGCACCGGCUUUAAGCGUAGCAGAAUCUUUCGCUUUGGAAGUCGGGGCCCCGUCUGCCGGAAGACCUACUCGCAAGGUUGACCUCGGAUCAGGCAGGGAUACCCGCUGAACUUAAGCAUAUCAAUAAGCGGAGGA